UUCAUUCAAUGUUCUUUUCAGUUUAACAGCUGCCCUUCACCCAUUUUACAGGUGGCAAAGCUGAGUCCAGGGAAAGGCAGCAACUUCUCAAAGCCAUACAGGGAGCCAAUGGUCAAGAGCGGAGCCCCACGCUGCCGCUGUUGGUGCUGACAGUGGGCCAGCCCUGGGAAGAAGGAGAGAAGGCCGCAUGUUCGCCGUCCCCACCCCCAGCCGUUUCUAGGACACCAAGAAUCAACUCGAAGCUGCUCCUAUGAUUAAUUACCAGCUGCCUAAUGCUCCGCCACUGGCAAUUUCUGGAAAAGGAAUGAAUUACCUUGAAAAACAUCCGAAAAGAGAACCCACCGUGAAGGAGAAUUUCAAAGGUUACCAGACAAUUAGCAGAGGGUUCCCCUAGCCUCAUCGAGUUGCAGGCAGGCCCCAUCGGGAGAGGCAGGCCACCAGCCUGAGGGCCACCCUCUGGCUCCAGAGAGCAGCGGACUUGGCGGGCUGGGCAAAGGCUGCAGGGCAGAAAUGGAGUGGCUUUCCCCCAGCAGCUCCCAUGCUUGUCCUGGGGCCCCGCCCCUGGCCUCUAAGGCCUUAUGCACUGGUUAAUCCUGAUGGACCUCGGUUCAAAUCCCCAUUCCAGCACUGAUGGUUCUGUGGGUUUCCUAACCACGCCGAGCCUCUGGAGAAUGAAUUAGACAAACCUCCCCGUGGGAUUCUUGUGGGGGUAAAAAGGUAUUAAAGGAGCAUAGUGCCUGACACACACACAGCAGAUGCUCACGAGACUGUGACAUUUAAAAAUAUUCAUGGCUUCUAAGCAUCCUCACAGCAGCUCUGUCAGCAAUGUCAGUAUAAUCAGCCUCAUUUUCAGAUGAGAAAGCUGGCUCUCACACAAGGGAAGGGACUGGCCCAAGGUCAUGCAGCCAAUCAGCAGACAGCUGGGAUUUCCUGCAGCAGGAACGGAGAUGGAGCCUGGCUCUCCAAUGUCGGAGCUUGACUGAGGCUCGCCUGGCCCUGCCCCUAGGCCCCUGGAAGCGCUAAGCUCCAGGAGGGACGCUGAGGGCCGCAGGGGAUGUUAGGAGACAGCUCCACACCAGGGCGAAGACUCCCCCCUCCCAGGCUGCCCCAGCACCACGACGCCUUGGGACAAAGGGCUCUGGGCCAAGUAAGGAUUUUUGUGAAGUCUCUCAUCUCUAGGUUGAGAGUUGCCAAGUAAACAGGGAUUACACAGGUCACCCUCGGGCACAGGGCCAAGUGAGAUCAACCCUGAAAUGCCACCCCAUGAUGAGAAAUGCUGGGGCACGGGACAGAGCUGGGCUCGACCUCAGGACCUGCUGGCCCCGACCUCAGGACCUGCUGGCCCCGACCUCAGGACCUGCUGGCCCCAGCUGCUCUCAGUUGCUCCUCAAGGUGCCCUGCCCCCCUUAUCAGGCGGGGGGUCCAGUUCGUGUCCAUCCUGGCACUGGUGGGUCCUCAGGGGGAGCAGGGUGGUGGAAACUGAGGUGUGUGGGGAGAAAGGUGGGUCCUAGCACCCUUGAGGAAAAGGGCUGACAUGUCCCUAGUCCUUGCUGUGUGCCAGGUGUGUAGUCUCCUCACUGCGAGAGUGGAGCAGGCACCGCCAUCUCAUUCCCAUUUGAUAGAUGGGUAAACAGAGGCACAGAGUAACCAUGCAUGCCAGUCAGGAUUUGAAUCCAGAUGGUCUGACCCCAGAGCCCAGUGUAUGCACCUCGGCAUGUUUGUGAGAGUGGGCAGAAGGGGUGGGUAGCCCUGCACCCAUUUCAGCCGACAUGCUCCUGCUCACCCAGGCCUCCUUUGGUGGGGCUGCCCAUACUCCACAGGGUUUAGAGUGGUGCAGACAGGGCUGCUGUGCCAAGACCAGGUAGCCAGACCUGCCCCUCUCCCCAGGCAGACCUGCAGCCCCCACCCCUAGCAGCUGCUGUAGAGAAAGGCCAGGCCAAGAGGUCCCUGGGUGCCAGGUAGACGGACGGCCCAUUGGGGGCAUGAUGAGCUCCCAGCAAAGGUGGCUUGUGCCCACUCCUGCCCCUCAGGGCUGAGGCCCGAGUCAAAGGUCCAGCGUGCUAGGGCUAGCACCUGCCCUCAUGAGGACUCGCCUGCGUCCGACCCAGCCACCUCCCGCCAGCCCCGUGGCACACCUACCUCAGUGAUCUGCAAACCACCAGUGUCCCACACGCCGGUCAGCAGCUUGCGGCCCCUCCACCUCACUCCAGCUCCAUCCUGCUGCAAUGAAAGUGGGAGGUCAGUGGGUCUACCCACAGUAGAGGCCCGGCACUGACCAUGAGGCCACUGCCCACUGCCACCGUAUCAUCCCCAUCUGACAGAGGAGGACUCUGAAGGGACAUGAUGGGGUGCCCUGGCAUAAACAGGCCCCUGACUCCCCACACCUGCCAGUUACUGGUUAUGUGAUUACGGAUAUGCUCUCAGACUCUCUGGGGUUCAGUUUCCUCACGUGUCAAAGUGGGGUCAAAGUAUGUCUCAAGGUCACCGGGAGAAUCCAAGGAGAUGCGAUGACAAAGGCACUUCGCAUUCACUCAUUCAUUCAACAAACAUUCAGCAAGCAUGCUGAUGUGAUAGUGAUCCCUACCCUUGCGGAGACUCAGACGAGAGCAAAGAAUCAAAUGAUACAAAAGUAAAAGCAGUGCUUGCCAGAAACAAACAAUGAGUCCAGGAGCCACACAGCAGAGACUCAAGAUCCCAGGUGGCCUCUCUGGAGAAGUGAAGUUGAGCAACAAGCCAGGGAGAGGCAGACCAAGAUGCGGCAAACAGCAUUCCAGGCAGAGGGAACAGCAUAUGCGAAGACUCCAAGAUAGAGAAAAGUGCCUGGCCCAGUGGAGGACUUGGGGUCUGUGGUGUAGCAGAUGCACUGAGCAAGGGAGGGGUGCCGUGAGUGGAGACCAGGGGCCAGCGACAGUAAGAAAGAGGGUGGGCAGGAGUCACAGCAGCAUCUGGGCAGCUGAGGGAUGUGACCCUAGUUCUAGUUUAGGAAGCCCCCAUGGCUGUGAAGGGAGAAGGGCUUGGAGGAAUAGGAGGAGGCAGAAGAGCAGUGGGGACGCUGCUCCAGGGUCCAGGCCAGAGACAGUGGUGCUCGGGGCAGAGAUGGCAGCAGGCAGAAGUGCAGGGCCUGCGGGUGCACUGGGAGUGUGGGCACACAACCAUCCUUGUUGGGUGGGGCUCAGCUGGCCCACCUCCUCAACGGCCCACCAACACGCCCCCCACUGCCCACAGAGCCCUGAGGGCAGGAGGGAGGAUGACACCCAGAGGCCUGGCUGGUGGGCUUCUCUGGGGUCUCAGCUGGAGGCUGGGAUGUGCAGAACCCUGAAUUCAAGCUAUGGCUGUGAAGGUGCCCCGAUGCAUGGCCGUGAACAGUCACUGUGCCUCUCUGCACCGGAGUGCCUACCCCUAAAAACCAGGAAACCUGACUGCAGGGCUGAGCUCCUCUCAGAACAAAGAUCGUGGCUCACAGCGGGAGAGGUGGUGCCCACAUCACGUGAAGCAUAGGCCUCCAUACACGCCAAGGGGCUCGGUAAGGUCCUCAGCCUGGGCUCCACCUCACUGUGCACAGGCAGGGGCUCCCAGGGAGAAACGGUGCCCAGGGCCUCGAUAAGAGGCAAAGAGGCCUGGUGAUUGAGAGGCAGGCUCAGUAAUCACAAGGAUCUGCUUCAAAUCUUGGCUUCGCCCUCGUACCAAGUGUGUGACUUGGACACGUUUCUUAAGCCUCCCUCUGCCUCAGUUUCCUCAACUGUUGUAGGGGAUAUAGAAAUAAAGAGAAGGCCUCCCUCAAA